rnacentral:tRNA from 1 species
GGGCGGUUAGCUCAGGUGGUUAGAGCGCGACACUGAUAAUGUCGAGGUCGGAGGUUCAAGUCCUCCACCGCCCACCA